UGAGACCGGCGCACGGGUGCGUAACGCGUAUGCAAUCUACCUUUUACAGGGGAAUAGCCCAGAGAAAUUUGGAUUAAUGCCCCAUGGUAUUAUAGAGUGGCAUCAUUUUAUAAUUAAAGUUCCAACGGUAAAAGAUGAGCAUGCGUCCCAUUAGCUAGUUGGUAUGGUAACGGCAUACCAAGGCUACGAUGGGUAGGGGUCCCGAGAGGGAGAUCCCCCACACUGGUACUGAGACACGGACCAGACUCCUACGGGAGGCAGCAGUGAGGAAUAUUGGACAAUGGGCGCAAGCCUGAUCCAGCCAUGCCGCGUGCAGGAUGACGGUCCUAUGGAUUGUAAACUGCUUUUAUACAGGAAGAAACACCCCGACGUGUCGGGACUUGACGGUACUGUAAGAAUAAGGAUCGGCUAACUCCGUGCCAGCAGCCGCGGUAAUACGGAGGAUCCAAGCGUUAUCCGGAAUCAUUGGGUUUAAAGGGUCCGUAGGCGGUCAAGUAAGUCAGUGGUGAAAGCCCAUCGCUCAACGGUGGAACGGCCAUUGAUACUGCUUGACUUGAAUUAUUAGGAAGUAACUAGAAUAUGUAGUGUAGCGGUGAAAUGCUUAGAGAUUACAUGGAAUACCAAUUGCGAAGGCAGGUUACUACUAAUUAAUUGACGCUGAUGGACGAAAGCGUGGGUAGCGAACAGGAUUAGAUACCCUGGUAGUCCCCGCCGUAAACGAUGGAUACUAGCUGUUGGGCGCAAGUUCAGUGGCUAAGCGAAAGUGAUAAGUAUCCCACCUGGGGAGUACGACGCA
rnacentral:rRNA from 1 species